rnacentral:rRNA from 1 species
CCUACGGGUUGCACCAGUGGGGAAUAUUGGACAAUGGGCGAAAGCCUGAUCCAGCAAUGCCGCGUGAGUGAUGAAGGCCUUAGGGUUGUAAAGCUCUUUUACCAGGGAUGAUAAUGACAGUACCUGGAGAAUAAGCUCCGGCUAACUCCGUGCCAGCAGCCGCGGUAAUACGGAGGGAGCUAACGUUGUACGGAAUUACUGGGCGUAAAGCGCGCGUAGGCGGCUUUUCAAGUCAGGGGUGAAAUCCCGGGGCUCAACCCCGGAACUGCCCUUGAAACUGGAUGGCUAGAAUACUGGAGAGGUGAGUGGAAUUCCGAGUGUAGAGGUGAAAUUCGUAGAUAUUCGGAAGAACACCAGUGGCGAAGGCGACUCACUGGACAGUUAUUGACGCUGAGGUGCGAGAGCGUGGGGAGCAAACAGGAUUAGAUACCCGGGUAGUC